rnacentral:rRNA from 1 species
GACGAACGCUGGCGGCGUGCUUAACACAUGCAAGUCGUACGGUAAGGCCCUUUCGGGGGUACACGAGUGGCGCACGGGUGAGUAACACGUGAGUAACCUGCCCACAACUUUGGGAUAACGCUAGGAAACUGGUGCUAAUACUGGAUAUGUGCUCCUGCUGCAUGGUGGGGGUUGGAAAGCUCCGGCGGUUGUGGAUGGACUCGCGGCCUAUCAGCUUGUUGGUGGGGUAGUGGCCUACCAAGGCGGCGACGUGUAGCCGGCCUGAGAGGGUGACCGGCCACAUUGGGACCGAGGUACGGCCCAGGCUCCUACGGGAGGCAGCAGGGGGGAAGAUUGCACAAUGGGCGCAAGCCGGAUGCAGCAGGGCCGCGGGCGGGAUGACGGCCUUCGGGUUGAAAACCGCUUUCAGCAGGGACGAAGCUUUUUGUGACGGUACCUGCAGAAGAAGCACCGGCUAACUACGUG